CUGUCACCAGCACGGCUGCAGCCACAGCAAGUUGAUGACAUGGCAGGCACAGAGCAGUGCCUGUGACACCACGGGACAGCGUCACAGAGGGGCACUGUGAGCUCAGGGCAGAGGGGCUGACCCCAGCGCUCACGGAACCCCCCACUGCCACUCUCGAGCUGCCACGGCAGGUAAGGCAGCAGGCUCCUCCUGCUCCUGGCACUGCGGCCCUCCAGGGGAUCCCAGUGCCCCACAUCUCACCCCGGCGCCCAUUUGGGCAUUUCCCCACAGAGAGAAUUCCUUCAUCGCUGACGGUGCUUCCGACACCCGACGCAACUUUAUUUGGAUCUUUGUGCCCCCACCGGCCACUGCUGCGAUGCAGACCACCAUUGGCGGAGCAGUGCCCGUAUCCUUCCAGCCCAUCCCUGCCCCCAAUGUCACCUCCAUGGUGCCUCAGGCCUCUGUCCAGCCGGGGGUACCGGGUGUGCAGGGACAGGGAGCGCAGCUGCCACCUGGGGCGAUGCCUCAAACUGUGCUUCAGCUGCCACCUGGGGCAAUGCCCCCAGUUGUGGCUCAGCUGCCACCUGGGGCAAUGCCCCAAACUAUGGUUGAGCUGCCCCUUGGGGCAAUGCCCUAUAAUGGGGGUCAGCUCCCACCUCAGGGGGUAGUCCCAAUGGUGGAUCUGAUCCCACCACAGGGGAUGCUCUCCAUGGUGGCUCAGCUCCCACCACCUGGGGCAAUGCCCCCAACUGUGCUUCAGCUGCCAGCUGAGGCAAUGCCCCAAACUGUGGGUCCGCUCCCACCUCAGGUGGUGCCCCCAACUGUGGGUCAGCUCCCAACUGGGGCAAUGCCCCCACCUGUAGUGCAGGUGCCACCAGGGGCAAAGCCUGAAAAUGUGAUUCAGCUGACAGCUGGGGCAAUGCCCCAAACUGUGGGUCAGCUCCCACCUCAGGGUGUACCCGCAACUGUGGGCCCGCUCCCACCUCAGGAGGUGCCCCCAACAGUGGGUCAGCUCCCACCUCAGGAGGUGCCCCCAAUUGUGGUUCAGCUCACACCUGAGGGGCUGUACACAAUUGUGGGUCAUCUGCCACCCGGGGAGAGGCAGUUACCCCUCCUCCAGCUCCUACCCGGCGGGAUGAAGCCGGGUAUGCCUCCCCCCAAUGCCCCUGCCCACUGCUGGCAACAUCCCCGGCUGGCAGGGAAGCGGCAGCGGCAGCGCCCGCAGCCGAUGGGGCAGCGGCCCGGGGCCGUGUGCCGUGGGAAGCCCCCGCAGCCCGCAGGCAGCUGCCCGCUGCAGGCCCCCGGCCGCCCCGGCCCCUCCACGCUCCUCCGAGCACCUGCAGUGCAGCAGCGGGUGCUCCCCGGGCCCUGCACCCUGCCCGCCAGCUGGGAGCAGGCGACGGGGCCCUUUGCAGAUGCCGUGGCGCACACCCAGGAGCAGCGGCACCCAGCGCCCACCAACGUGUGCCCCCAUCCCGCCACGGCUCCGCUCGGCUGCAGCAGCGCAGCGCUGGAAUCAGGAGGUGAGUUUGGGGGCUGCGCAGCGGGCGGCAGGCUGUCCGCACCGGGUGGCUGUGGGAAAGCUGGCAUUGCCCCACUGGGGAUGUUCUUGCUUUUCCAGCAGCGACAAUGAGCUCAGACGUCCCGGAGGACAUCAGCGACAUCCAUUGCCUCCUGACUUGGAUCAACAACGAAGCGAUGAGUCUUCGCGAGGUCCCCCAGCCCAGCAACGACCUGCUGUGGAGGCAGCCCGAGCCGGCCGAGUGCCCAGCGCCCGCCCGCACCACCACAGGGCACGAGCAGCGCACUGGCAGCAUCCAGGCCCCAAAGAGGAAGCUGCCGCAGGGCCGGGAUGCUCCAGAAGCGAAACGCCGGCGCUAGGCGAGGCUGGGUGGGCUCAGCACAAGCGGGAGCGCCCGCAGAAACCGUGCCUGGAGCCCUGGGCUCCUCGCCGGCCCCCGCGGCACACACAGAGCAGCGGCAGUGCUCCAGGGGCACCAGCACCGGCCCCGGCCCUACCCCUCCAAACCUGGGCUGUCCACCACCACCACCGUGCACUGCGACCAUGUGGGACUCCGUUACAUCACCUUACCUUAUGUUCUGUUAAAUUAUGUUAUGUUAUGUUAUAUUAUAUUACAUUAAAUUACAUUAAAUUAUU